rnacentral:rRNA from 1 species
CGCAUGAAGUCGGAAUUGCUAGUAAUCGCGGAUCAGCAUGCCGCGGUGAAUACGUUCCCGGGCCUUGUACACACCGCCCGUCACACCAUGGGAGCCGGUAAUACCCGAAGUCAGUAGUCCAACCUCGUGAGGACGCUGCCGAAGGUAGGAUUGGCGACUGGGGUGAAGUCGUAACAAGGUACC